CUCCAGGACCUCGAGGGACAGGCUGGGCCCUACAGGUGCAGCCUGAGCAUCAACUCGGCGUCAUAUGGGGACCGCUGCGUCCCCCAAGAGCUUGGAGAACAGAUUGGAGCAGUGGCCAAAGGAGCAGGAGACAGUGCAGAGCUGAGCUGACCGGCUGUGGGACCAGACAGCCCAAAGGGAGGAUGGGCAGGUGCUGGUGCCAGAGGAGGUCAAAGCCACUAAGGAUUAGGAGGAAGGGGUCACCAGUUAUUUCCAGGAAACGUUCCUUUAAGAAAAGAGGACAUGGAGGAAGGAAAGGGUUGGCUUCUUCCGGGGGGUUCGCUGCUUCGGCCCCUCACUGGCCUCUCUCACCCAGCUCCUCGCUUGUGCAGUAGGAAUCCUAAUACCAACUGCAUUAGACUGUGUUGGAAGUCACGGCCACACACCCAGCACCCUGUCUGGAGCUUACAAACGCCCAUAUUGUUGGAAAGUAGAGAGCAAGGGAUGGACGCGCCUGCAGGUGCACCGGUUUAGGGCAGUCGGGCAGAGUGCGGACUCCGGAGACACAGCGGACGAUGCCCGAGCGGCGGAGGCAGCGAACUCAGCCCACGUGGAGCAGGUGCACAGAUGGGAGCUGGGGCGAUCGAAGUUCACAUUCUGGCACCAUUGUCUGCUUGCUGAGGAACACGAGGCCAAGUCCUAGGGGGGAUUUUGCCAAAUUUGACAAACUGAAUUAGAAAUUCAUGAGAAGCAAAAAACCAGGACUAGCUGAGACACCUAUAAAAAGGACAGCCAAGGUGAGGGGUCUUUUGCUGCAAGAUUUUGCAUUAACAGCCGUGUAGAGCCACUGUGAUUAAAGCAAUGUGGUCAAUGGGGUACCAAAGCGGAAGUGAAUGAGUGGAACACUGGUGCCCAAAAGAAAGGCAGCAGGAAACACACAGCAAUGGGCGAGCCUGUUAUGUGACCAACGUGGCGUAAUCAAGUCAACCGGAGAUCAAGGACUCUUCGCAAAACGGUAUUGAGACACUUGAUUAGUCCAAGAAAAAGAUUAAUUUCAUUCACCAAAUACUGCUAUUUUCUUUCCCUUCUGGGUCCAGGAGGAGGUUGCAUUUCCCUGCAUCCUCUGAAGCUAGACAUGGUCAUGUGCCUUGCUUUGGCCACUGAAAGGUGAAGAAGACAUACAUGUCACCUUUAAGCAUGGCCCUCAGCACCAGUGUGAUACUCGCCACAUUCACCCCCUUUUUUCAGGAAUCCCAGAGGCCCCUGUCUAGAUAAGUUCCCAGCAGCCUAGGUCUCCCAGGGGCUGCAGUGAGCAGAGACCCUGCACACCCACAGUGGACAACAGUAUAAAUGAGACAUAAAUUUGGGGGUAAGCCUCUAGAAUUCAGGUUUAUUUCUGCAGUACAACCUAGCCUCUCCUACUAUGAAAAGAAACCCAAAAUUAAACUGGAUUAUAUACCCAGACAUGAAAACUUCAAAAUUUUUAGGAAAGAAUACAGGCAAAGAUCUUCAUGACCUCAGAGUAUGGGAGAACUUUGUAAAAGUUUUUUAAAAAUUAUCAGUCGUAAGGAAAAGAUCAGUGUAUUGACCACAUCCAAGUUAAAGUCUUCUGUUCGCUAGUAACACCAUACGUGGAACAGAUAAGCAAGAGACUGGAAAGGGGACUUGCAGUGUCAUAAUGGCUCAAAGGUCAGUGUUGAAUGUACCUAAAAAUACCUUGAAGAUCAAGAAAGAAAAGACAAAUGAGCCAAAAGGAAAAAUGGGCAAAACUCUGAAAAGACAAGGAAAACAGAAAACUACUGAAAUCAUGUAAUCAUUGAAGAAAUGCCCAGUAACACGAUUUAAGCCAUUUCACACAGUCAGUUUAGCAAAAAUUAAAAUUGCAAUAAUACCUCAGAUUGUCGAGGAUGUAAGGAAGAACUUCAUGGCAGAGCAAUCUGGACAAAUCUAGUGAGGUUGAGCACAUGCAUACCUUUCAUGGCAAGAAUAGUCACUCUCCUCAGGGCAUUUCCUAGGAACCCCUACACUUUUAUACCAGGAGAUGAGUUGUCAAAAACAUGCUUCAUGGGCUUGUUUUUAAUGGCAAACAGUUAGAAACAAUUCCAAUAUCCACCACCAGCAGAGUAGAUGAGCAAUUUGUGACACAUAUGGUAGAAUAUACACACCCACUUGCAUCCACGUGGAAAAAUCUCAAAAAUACAACUGUAAACAACAUCUGAAACAGUUGGGUUGCAGGAAGUUGUGUGCUAUGUGUGUCAUUUAUACAAAGUUUGAAAAUCUGCACACUUUCAUAGAUACGUAUGUAAGCAGCACACGGUAAGAGUGUGAAAGUCUGUAUGAGAACAAUAAACAUAAUCAGAGAGAUAAAUAUAAUCAGAUAAUGGAGUCAGGAAUGUAGGUUUCCAAAGCAUAUCACUUUGGUUAUUAGAAAUAUUGAAACUAAUAUAGCACAACUUUGAGGGGCACCUGGGUGGCUCAGUCAGUUGUGUG